UCUCUCUCUCUCUCUGCCCAUCUCUGCUCACACACUUGCUCUCUCUCAAAAUAAAUAGACUUAAAAAUAUUAAAAAAAAAAGUGGAUCCUCCCCAUGUUCCUAUACCUCGCUCAAGUGCUGCCAGAGUUAACAGUUCACCCCAUUUUCUUUGUGGCCCAGAUGUUUUUACACAUGUCACACCCCUGCCCCAGAUUAUCGACUCGCUGGAGAAGGGAACAGCCUCAUCCAUCUCUCCAUCCCCUGGCAGACAGUAGGCCCCCCAAAACACUGGUUGAACAUGGUCGCUUUGAGAUUCCUCUUUUCCUGUGGUCCUAAAGCUGGAUCUGUUCUUUCAAAGUGGCUGGCUUAGCAUGUCCACUCGUAUAGAAAGAAGAGGGAGAAAUCAGAUGCAAGGAGAUGGUUAGGAGUUCUGUGCGGUGAUUGAUAUGUUUGAUUAAAGGAGGACAGAUUGGUUGGGUCUGGUGAGUGGAAUAGAAGAAAGGGGUAGAGGGAAGCAACGUUUUGAAGGAAGAAGCAGGAGAGUUGGGGUUCAUGGCUAGACUGGUCACCAGACCGACAGAGGCAGGGCGGGGGGUGAAUCUAAGAUGUUGCUAAGCUUUGGCACUUCGGUGGCUGGAGGGAGCUUGGAGGGGGUUUGACGUCAUGACAUCUUCUGAUUGUUUGUCUCCACAGAAGGGCUCUUGACUCGGUUUGCACCAGCGGGCUCAAGCAGGUGUCGUGUAUUUUCAGACAAAGAAGGAAAUCAAGACACACGUAGUUAAAGGUCAUUUCCCAAGCACCCAUGAUUAAACUCGGUGAAUUUUUCAAAAAGGAUUGAGAAACUAGAUGAAUAGGCUCAGGAGAGGGAAAGGGUCCUAUUGAACAAUCGCUGGGUACUGCAGAGUGUAGUAGGCACCCCUUUUGUUUUCUCUCGCUUAGAUCUUGAUGUAGAUAUUAUUAACCCAUUUUAUAGAUACAAAAGCUGCGAUGAAGGGGCUCUCCAAGCCCCUUGACUGUAGCACCUCACUGUCAUUCUACCUUGCCAUUAGGGUUAUAUCUCUACACUUUUUUAAACCAGAUUUUGCUUUGAAAAUCGUUUCUUCCAACUUCGUUGCAGUCAUACAUAUGUAUAUACAUGGGUACAUACACACACGCACACACACACACACACACACACACACGCACACACACACACACACACACACACACACACACAUAUAUACUCCAUAGCAGGAUUGGCUUUGUGACACCUUACAGGUGUUUGCUCGUUUGGGAACUAUGUCCAUAUUAUUCAUCACAUCAGCACUACAAGCCACCCCACCCUCCCCAAGGUCGGUCAAAGGCUGUAAUGAGGCUGAGCAGCAUUAGAAGAAUUCUCCUCUGCCCUAGUGAUCUGAACUCUGAGGUGCUGCCAGCGUGGGCAGGGCUGUGGACACAUGGAUGCUCACGCAUCCGGUGAGGAUGCAGGGCCUGGAGCUCUUUCCAGAUGAGCUGAAAUGCUUAGUCUUCAGCCUGGGCUGCUGUGCCUUUGGAGCCCGAGGUAGCAGCAGUUACAAGUUGAUCUGCCUCCUGACAGCUCCCUCCUGGAAGGCCUGCCUGUCUUCCUGGCAUCAGUGGAGGGGGUGGCAACCAAGUGCUCCACGGAUGGACACCCAAGACCUACCACAGCACAUUUCACGUGUCAUUGAAGAAGGAUGGAAAAAGACGGUAGCCAGACAUAACUCGGUUCAGUAAGUUUUGGGGCCCUAUUCAGGUAUAGGAGGAGAGGGGACAGCAAAGGGGUCAGGCCAACACCCUGCCUUCAUUUCAAAGGAGAGAAUGUGACAGAAUACGAGAUCAGUCUCAUUCAUUCAUUCAUUCAUUCAUCCAUCCCACGUGUGUUAUUUACUAUUUAUUGAGUACCUACUAUAUGCCAAGUCAGCCACAGCAUGGAGCCCUGGAGUCAUAAUGAUGAGCUUAGAUACUGUCCCCAAUCUCUUAGCACUUUCAGUAUCUUGGAGAAGUCAGUUCAACCAGCAGUGACAUUUGGGACGUCUGGUUUGAAGAGGUCAGGGGAGGCUUCCCUAGUGAGAAGCAGACUGGAGGAAGGACUACAUAAGCAGGUCCCGUGGUGGACUGAGUUGUGUCACCCCCAAGUUCAUAGGUGAAGCCCUAACCCCGCCAUGUGGCUGUAUUUGGAGACAUGGCCUUUAAAGAGGUAAUUAAGGCUAAAUGAGGUCAUAAGGGUGGAGCCCUAAUCCACUGUGACUGGUGUCCUUAGAAGAGGAAGAGACGGCAGGGGUGCCUGUGCACGGAGGAAGGGCCAUGUGAGGGUGCAGCAAGAAGGCAACUGUCUGCAGACCAAGGGGAGAGGCCACAGGAGAAACCAACCUGCUGAUACCUUGAUCUUGACUUCCAGCCUCCAGAACUGUGAGAUAGUAAACUUCUGUUUCAGCCACCCAGUUAGUGGUAUCUUAUUAUGGUUGCCCUAGCAAAGUAAUACGCUGGUAUACAGAGAGACAGAGACAGAGAGGGAGAGAGAGAGAGAGAGAGAGAGAGAGAGAGAGAGAGAGAGAGUUGGCUAAAGGUAUUUUGCCUACAACAACCCUGAUUGUAAGCUCCCUGAGGGCAGAUACUAAAUCUGUUCCCUAGCAUCUGACACACUGCCUGACGCCUGGUGCGUAUUUUGUAAAUAUUUGUUUAAUGAGCAAUUGCAUGAGUGAAAAGGUUGAGGAAGGAGAAUGGCGAGAUGGGACAGCCCAUGGAAACAGUGGGGAUUUUAUCCUGUAGGCACUGAGAAAUCACUCCAGGCUUCAGAACUGGGGAUUGGGUGAAAGGGGUACUUGGGAGGGUUUUAGGAUAAACUGGGGCAGAUCAGAAGGAGUGUGGGUAGCAGUGUAGCUGAGAGAGCCUGGGAUCAAAGAGACCGGUUAGGAGGCCACAGGAGUAAUGUAGGCACUUGGUGAUAUGCUUCUACUCUGGGGCUGGGACACAGGGAAGGGGAAAUUGAGCACAGAUACAGGGGGUCAGAAUUGGAGGAAUAGAAUUUGGCCAGCAACUGGAUAUGGUUCCCUCCUGUCCUAGGUGAUAUGGAUCCCGAGGCUUUAGAGCCUCCCUUCUGUGUCUGGUAGGACGGUAUCUAAUAGCCCAGUGGCUCUUUGGAUCAUGACUCUCUAAUGCAUCCUGGAUGCCCUGUGAUCUCCUGCACUGUCGUAAGCGAGGCACGAACAAGUGACCUGACCUGUCUAAGGUCACACACCAGACCUUGCAAGAGGAUGGCUUUCUCCUCCAGCUGUUCCCAGUCCCCGAAAGACCAGCUUUACAUCUGACGUGCCGAGUCUGGCUUCUCCGAGGUCGAGCCUCCCUGGAGACGUUGAAAGUUUCCCUGCUGAUCCUCUUUCUCGUUCUGAAGAUUUUAACUGCCGGGCAUUAAAAACACCCGUGUGAUACCAUA